GGGAAUCUUGCACAAUGGGGGCAACCCUGAUGCAGCGACGCCGCGUGAGCGAUGAAGCCCUUCGGGGCGUAAAGCUCUUUCGACCGGAACGAUAAUGACGGUACCGGGAGAAGAAGCUGCGGCUAACUACGUGCCAGCAGCCGCGUUAAUACGUAGGCAGCAAGCGUUGUUCGGAGUUACUGGGCGUAAAGAGUGCGUAGGCGGUUUUCUAAGUUCGGUGUGAAAUCUCCCGGCUUAACUGGGAGGGUGCGCCGAAGACUGGGAAGCUGGAGUGUGGGAAAGGCAGGCGGAAUUCCUGGUGUAGCGGUGAAAUGCGUAGAUAUCAGGAGGAACACCGGCGGUGUAGACGGCUUGCUAGACCAUAACUGACGCUGAGGCGCGAAAGCGUGGGUAGCAAACA
rnacentral:rRNA from 1 species